UGUUGGAGAUAGUGGGGCAGGGCUGGAGAGCGCUGGAUGCUCUUCACGAGCGCACAUGUCGAGCGCUUGAUGUGCAGAGGAGAUCUUUCUCUCUCUGGUGACCACCCGGAUCUCCAGAGCAGGUUUAAGCGACUUUUCCCCGACUUUAACGCCAUUCAAGUUUCUUGAGUCGUAGGGCGGCUCUUCAUUAAUACCCUGGCCUUGUUAACUCCGGGUUGGUCCGAGCGGGACCGUGAAAGCGUCCGUGGGGCCAGGCUGCGCGAGCCGUGGACCUGCCCCGAGCCGCGGGCGCUCAUGGAGGGAGACAUCAUGGACAAACUCGGGGACAUGGCUUCGGUCUACGAGUUCGACCCGCUGACGGGGAACAUCCCCGCCACCAAAGUGGAGAUCACAGUUUCGUGCAGGAAUCUUUUAGACAGAGACACAUUCUCCAAAUCUGAUCCACUGUGUGUAAUGUACACUCAGGGUGUGGAGACCAAGCAGUGGAGAGAGG